GGCACCCUGGGACAAGCAGAGCUAGAGCUCCUGGACCAGGGCUCAGGCUCAUGUGCUGAGGAACAGCUUGGGAGUGCCGCUGGCCUGAGCCCUCCAAGGAAAGAAGAAGGGUGCGGUGCGUGUGUGAGUGCGGACUCAUUAAGAAGUACAGAGGGAAAGCUAUCCCCCAGACUCCAGGACUGCCGUUGCCCGGGAACGAUGUUUGAGCUGCUGAGACUGUCAUGUUCCUAAUCUCCAACCCAAGAUGUCUAGGAGCAGAGGGCACUGAGAAAUGCAUCAGCCAGCAUCCGCUACCCAUCUUUACCUACCAAGUUAACACCUAACAAGUACAGUGGAAUUAAGAGUCCUGACCUCACUCUUUCAGUGGUGCACUGAUGAAAUGCAUCUGGGUCAAUCAGGACAAUCAUAUAGACAGCAUACGUCUCCUAGAGACCCAAUAUACUUGGCACAUUGGCACACAUGGCUGGAAAGUGAGGAGCUGAAUUGACAGAAUAGAAAAUCCCCAUCUGUGCCCACCGCAGUGCACACCAAUGGCUCAGCUGAAUCUAAAGUCUUUACUAUGAAGUAGAUGAGAGAAAGAGAGAGAUGAGUCUAAGAAAGAAAGCUCUGGAUUAGAGAUCUGAACUUCUCCAUAGUUCAGGAACAUUU